rnacentral:tRNA from 1 species
UAGGGAGACCAUCUGAGACUCGACCGAACCUCAACAAGAGGUCGCUUUCUCAGUCAUCCCUGGUCGUUCGAGGAAUAGAUGUCAAAGCUUUCAAACUAUUAACUGGUUCGUUUCUCGCGGGCUAUUAGCUCAGUUGGUUAGAGCGCACCCCUGAUAAGGGUGAGGUCCCUGGUUCGAGUCCAGGAUGGCCCACUGCGUGGGGGUUUAGCUCAGUUGGUAGAGCGCCUGCUUUGCAAGCAGGAUGUCAGCGGUUCGAGUCCGCUAACCUCCACCAUUAGAAGAGAAGUCAGCAAGAUGUUUAGCUAGCAGCUAAGUAUAUUGCUGAAGUCUAAAGCUUCAGUAAGACCCUUGAAAAUUGCAUAGUAAGAGCAGAAAGGUAGGUAGGUUUAUCUAUUUANUGGAGGUAGGUCAUGAGAAUGACUGAAGCCAAGGGAUAGGUAAAGCAAUCCAAGAGAGCCGAGAUUUUAGUUGAUUAAGA